rnacentral:tRNA from 3 species
GCGCCCUUAGCUCAGUCGGAUAGAGCAACGGCCUUCUAAGCCGUAGGCCGCAGGUUCGAAUCCUGCAGGGCGCACCA